UUAUGGCAGAUAGAUAUUAUUAGGAGUCAGGCAACAAAACUGUCUCAGAAUGAGCUAAAAGUUUAUUAUUUGGUUUUUUUUUAGAUGGAGUCUUGCUCUGUAACCCAGGCUGGAGUGCAGUGGCACGAUCUCGUCUCACUGAAACCGCUGCCUCCCGAGUUCAAGUGAUUCUCCUGCCUCAGCCUUUCGAGUAGCUGGGAUUACAGAGCAUGGAGAGAGAAGGAUGCAGAGAUGGCAAGACAGCAAUAGAAAAAUACAGCCAGCGUUGCUUGAAAAAAUGCAGAACUUUACAACACAAUGGGACUACCACAACUGGAUGAUAAGGAAGGAAGAAACACAGUUCACAGACGAAUGAGAUCAAUAGGUUGGCAUGAGUGGAAAAUGGGUUACUUCUGCAAAAAGGCCCAGCACGUAAGUAUCUCUAGAAGAAAGAAGUAAAGGGAAAAUUCUAUAGAGGGCAGAGAUUGGAAAUCAACACACUGUAAUCUACUUGGUGUAGAAGGGGAAAUGGCUUGCAGCAAACAUAUGCACAGCUUUGGUCAGUGGUAAAUUGCUCUGCCUGGUGGAAUCAGAUAUAAGAAAGCAAGGUUGGAAAAGUAGAGACAAAGAAGAUAGGGCAAGAGGCAUACGACUGGACCCAUGGGAGUUGACACUGAUGUGUGGAUAUUUGGUUUUCCCAUUUGUUCCACCCUAGUGGAGCAACAUCCACCCCGGUGGAGCAACUGAACAACCACACGGCUAGAAUGACUUGGGUUGGGUGUGUCAUCCAGCCUCUGUCUUUAGCCAGCUCUGUGCUUGGGUCUUGUACACAUGAAUGGAGUAACCCUGGGAAGGAUAGGAAGCUAUGGAUUGUAAGCUAGCUACUUGAACAUGAAUGCUGGCAGUGGGAAAAGAAGCAGAAUGGCUGGUAUACAAGAAGAUGAUAACUAGCAAUGAUACUCUGUUAGAACCAGCUAUUCACUCCAAUACAAAUCAUUGUUUUGUCAUUGUUGUCAUUGGGUUUAAGGAACUGUGACCAGUCACAAAUACAAAGACAGAAGAUAUUAGACUUAGUGUGUGUCAUAAAUGGAUCUGAGCAGUACAAGGGGUGGGCUGCAGCAGACCAUUUAGGCUCACAGGGCCUCAGCACUCAUUGUCAUAACUGGAGGCUCCAUGGAAACCACCUGCCAGUUGGGCUGAUGAUUCUUUUUGCUAAGGGAAUAUGCUGGGCCUGAAUACAUGAUAAACAAAAAGUAAUAGAAAUUUAUUUCGAGAAAUCACCUUCAAUUAAAGAAAGAUGGGGAUCUGGUAAGAUUCAAACCCCAGUUUCCUCACCACUCAUUAAGGAUCAUUCCAAGGCUGAGCUCUCCUGUUACCCAGAAUUCCCAGUGUAAUCAAGCUGCAGGGUCUCUUGGUGGUAGGUGGUUGGUAGAUGUCUUUCCAUUCCUGGGAUCACCUACCAAGGAAACUACUGGUCUACUUGUCAUCAGUUCUUCAUCUCAGGGUCUUCUUGGAGAAUAAAUCUAUCACGCAUAAAAACAAUGUGUUUUCUGUAAUUAAAUGAAACAUGCAUUCUGAAGGUUGUGUUGAUAACUUUCCCAUGUGGAUUAUUUACCUGUGCCCUGAUUUUCCCAUUUAGAUCUUUAUUUUACCAUGACUCCUCCUUCAGUAAUGUCUGAAUAACAAUUCAAAAUAUAAAAGAGCAAUGAAAGAAGUACCCAAAUCAGUACAGUGAAUCAAAUCUACUGCAUGAAAAAUGCAAGAUUAUAAAUAUUUAUGUAGGGUUUUCCUCAAUUUUUGCCCUAUUAAGGAAUGACCCUUAGGUUCAAAAGUAUUCUAGAGCAUAUUAAGUGCCGCAGAAGUUUCUCACUCUCUGUAGCUCCCUUCUCAUUCAAUUACAAUGUAAUGUAAUUAGAUUUCAUGCAUUUUUGUAGAAAUAAAUAAAUAAAUGUUUGAAUGCAUGGCUUGUCUGAAAGCUAAAAUAAAG
ensembl:lncRNA